UAUCGGAUUGAUACUAAGCCAUGUGAGUCAUUGUAGCAAUACAAGGCAUACGGCUCAGUAACGCGUAGUCAACCUAACCUAUGGACGGGAAUAACCUCGGGAAACUGAGAAUAAUGCCCGAUAGAACAUUAUGCCUGGAAUGGUUUAUGUUCCAAAUGAUUUAUCGCCGUAGGAUGGGACUGCGGCCUAUCAGUUUGUUGGUGAGGUAAUGGCCCACCAAGACUAUUACAGGUACGGGCUCUGAGAGGAGUAGCCCGGAGAUGGGUACUGAGACACGGACCCAGGCCCUAUGGGGCGCAGCAGGCGAGAAAACUUUGCAAUGUGCGAAAGCACGACAAGGUUAAUCCGAGUGGUUUCUGCUAAAGGAACCUUUUGUCAGUCCUAGAAACACUGAUGAAUAAGGGGUGGGCAAGUUCUGGUGUCAGCCGCCGCGGUAAAACCAGCACCUCAAGUGGUCAGGAUGAUUAUUGGGCCUAAAGCAUCCGUAGCCGGCUCUGUAAGUUUUCGGUUAAAUCUGUACGCUCAACGUACAGGCUGCCGGGAAUACUGCAAAGCUAGGGAGUGGGAGAGGUAGACGGUACUCGGUAGGAAGGGGUAAAAUCCUUUGAUCUAUUGAUGACCACCUGUGGCGAAGGCGGUCUACCAGAACACGUCCGACGGUGAGGGAUGAAAGCUGGGGGAGCAAACCGGAUUAGAUACCCGGGUAGUCCCAGCUGUAAACCAUGCAAACUCAGUGAUGCAUUGGCUUGUGGCCAAUGCAGUGCUGCAGGGAAGCCGUUAAGUUUGCCGCCUGGGAAGUACGUACGCAAGUAUGAAACUUAAAGGAAUUGGCGGGGGAGCACCACAAGGGGUGAAGCCUGCGGUUCAAUUGGAGUC
rnacentral:rRNA from 1 species